rnacentral:rRNA from 1 species
AUUGAACGCUGGCGGCAGGCCUAACACAUGCAAGUCGAACGAGUGGCGGACUGGUGCUUAAUGUCUGGGAAACUGCCCGAUGGAGGGGGAUAACUACUGGAAACGGUAGCUAAUACCGCAUACCAUCGGAUUUGCCCAGAUGGGAUUAGCUAGUAGGUGGGGUAACGGCUCACCUAGGCGACGAUCCCUCGCUGGUCUGAGAGGAUGACCAGGCAAAAUGGAACUGAGACACGGUCCAGACUCCUACGGGAGGGAGAAGUGGGGAAUAUUGCACAAUGGGCGCAAGCCUGAUGCAGCCAUGCCGCGUGUAUGAAGAAGGCCUGCGGGUUGUAAAGUACUUUCAGCGGGGAGGCGUUACCCGCAGAAGAAGCACCGGCUAACUCCGUGCCAGCAGCCGCGGUAAUUC